rnacentral:rRNA from 1 species
CGGAUUGCAGGCUGCAACUCGCCUGCAUGAAGUCGGAAUUGCUAGUAAUCGCGGAUCAGCAUGCCGCGGUGAAUACGUUCCCGGGCCUUGUACACACCGCCCGUCACACCAUGAGAGCCGGUAACACCCGAAGUCAGUAGUCUAACCGCAAGGGGGACGCUGCCGAAGGUGGGGCUGGUGAUUGGGGUGAAGUCGUAACAAGGUACC